UUAACUCAAAUUUUUAUGGAGUUGGAACGUUUGCGUACGUUUGACGCUAAGGACGCUGUUCCAACUGCAUACAAAUUUGAGUUA
rfam:Bombyx mori DNA, contig: Bm_scaf14_contig11112, strain: p50T/Dazao, build 2, whole genome shotgun sequence.